AGCAGCCGCGGUAAUUCCAGCUCCAAUAGCGUAUAUUAAAGUUGCUGCAGUUAAAAAGCUCGUAGUUGAAUUUCGGGACCAAUAUGUCGGUCGUGCCUCGGUACGUACUGGCAUCGUUGGUUUCUCCCUUCUGACGAACCAUGAUGUCAUUCAUUUGGUGUCGUGGGGAAUCAGGACUGUUACUUUGAAAAAUUAGAGUGUUUAAAGCAGGCUCACGCUUGAAUACAUUAGCAUGGAAUAAUGAAAUAGGACGUUUGAUUCUAUUUUGUUGGUUUCUAGGAUCGACGUAAUGAUUAAUAGGGAUAGUUGGGGGCAUUAGUAUUCAAUUGUCAGAGGUGAAAUUCUUGGAUUUAUUGAAGACUAACUACUGCGAAAGCAUUUGCCAAGGAUGUUUUCAUUAAUCAAGAACGAAAGUUAGGGGAUCGAAGACGAUCAGAUACCGUCGUAGUC
rnacentral:rRNA from 1 species